rnacentral:rRNA from 1 species
GACGAACGCUGGCGGCGUGCUUAACACAUGCAAGUCGAACGGAAAGGCCCUGCUUGCAGGGUACUCGAGUGGCGAACGGGUGAGUAACACGUGGGUGAUCUGCCCUGCACUUCGGGAUAAGCCUGGGAAACUGGGUCUAAUACCAGAUAGGAGCCAUUUUUAGUGUGAUGGUUGGAAAGUUUUUUCGGUGUAGGAUGAGCUCGCGGCCUAUCAGCUUGUUGGUGGGGUAAUGGCCUACCAAGGCGGCGACGGGUAGCCGGCCUGAGAGGGUGGACGGCCACAUUGGGACUGAGAUACGGCCCAGACUCCUACGGGAGGCAGCAGUGGGGAAUAUUGCACAAUGGGCGCAAGCCUGAUGCAGCGACGCCGCGUGGGGGAUGACGGCCUUCGGGUUGUAAACUCCUUUCGCUAGGGACGAAGCUUUUUGUGACGGUACCUAGAUAUGAAGCACCGGCUAACUACGUG